GCGGACGUAGCUCAGUUGGUAGAGCACAACCUUGCCAAGGUUGGGGUCGCGAGUUCGAGUCUCGUCGUCCGCU
rnacentral:tRNA from 4 species